rnacentral:rRNA from 1 species
CAGUCGCCACGGGAAUACGUAGGGUGCGAGCGUUAAUCGGAAUUACUGGGCGUAAAGCGUGCGCAGGCGGUUAUAUAAGACAGAUGUGAAAUCCCCGGGCUCAACCUGGGAACUGCAUUUGAGACUGUAUGGCUAGAGUGUGUCAGAGGGGGGUAGAAUUCCACGUGUAGCAGUGAAAUGCGUAGAUAUGCGGAGGAACACCGAUGGCGAAGGCAAUCCCCUGGACCUGUACUGACGCUCAUGCACGAAAGCGUGGGGAGCAAACAGGAUUAGAUACCCGCGUAGUCCCUGUCUCUUAUAC